rnacentral:rRNA from 2 species
UGGCCUACGGGUGGCAGCAGUGGGGAAUAUUGGACAAUGGGCGCAAGCCUGAUCCAGCCAUGCCGCGUGAGUGAUGACGGCCUUAGGGUUGUAAAGCUCUUUCACCCACGACGAUAAUGACGGUAGUGGGAGAAGAAGCCCCGGCUAACUUCGUGCCAGCAGCCGCGGUAAUACGAAGGGGGCUAGCGUUGUUCGGAAUUACUGGGCGUAAAGCGUACGUAGGCGGACCGUUAAGUCAGAGGUGAAAUCCCGGAGCUCAACUUCGGAAUUGCCUUUGAUACUGGCGGUCUUGAGUUCGGGAGAGGUGAGUGGAACUGCUAGUGUAGAGGUGAAAUUCGUAGAUAUUAGCAAGAACACCAGUGGCGAAGGCGGCUCACUGGCCCGAUACUGACGCUGAGGUACGAAAGCGUGGGGAGCAAACAGGAUUAGAUACCCUAGUAGUCCU